UACGAAGGGGGCUAGCGUUGCUCGGAAUCACUGGGCGUAAAGCGCACGUAGGCGGCUUGUUAAGUCAGGGGUGAAAUCCUGGAGCUCAACUCCAGAACUGCCUUUGAUACUGAGAAGCUUGAGUCCGGGAGAGGUGAGUGGAACUGCGAGUGUAGAGGUGAAAUUCGUAGAUAUUCGGCGGAACACCAGUGGCGAAGGCGACUCACUGGCCCGAUACUGACGCUGAGGCGCGAAAGCGUGGGGAGCAAACAGG
rnacentral:rRNA from 1 species